GGAACUGCACAAAGAAUAGAGAGGUUUUGUCGCAUGAGACCAAAAGUUGGAUUUCAUGAGAGCCGAUACUUCUUUCUGCAUUUGGUCGAUUAGUGUUCUAAUUGGCAACCUUUUGUUUUGUUAGGUGGUGAAGAUGAAGGCUAGACAAGCCGAUACUUCAAGAUUCAAGAACGAGUUCCGCCUCUUCUGUAGCUUUCUCUUUAUUUUUCUCUCACUUGGCUCUCUUUCUCUCUGUUUUUCUUACUUCAUUUUUCUGUGUUUGGUUAAUUUUACGAUUUAAUUGGCAAACUUUGAACUUUUAGGGGUUGAAGAUGACGCUGUGAAAACAACAAGGGUUAAAGACGAGACUUCAAAAACUGAAAAUGACGCUUCAAGGUGCAAAAUGGAGGGAGAUAUGAAUUUUAGGAUCUUUAUAUAUUGUAAAUUGAAGUGGAAUAGGUUUUUUGUUUUUAUGUUUGUUGUUUAGUUGUAAUUUGUAAAUUAAAUUGUGAUAUAAAUAAAAAUUUGUAUUUGGUUUUUU